UGAAAAUUAAUAUCCAAUUAAAUUUAAUUUCGACUUAAACCUAGAGUUCAAUCUCCUUAUUUUUAA
rnacentral:tRNA from 1 species